UGGGGAAUAUUGGACAAUGGGCGAAAGCCUGAUCCAGCCAUGCCGCGUGUGUGAAGAAGGUCUUCGGAUUGUAAAGCACUUUAAGUUGGGAGGAAGGGCAGUAAGCGAAUACCUUGCUGUUUUGACGUUACCGACAGAAUAAGCACCGGCUAACUCUGUGCCAGCAGCCGCGGUAAUACAGAGGGUGCAAGCGUUAAUCGGAAUUACUGGGCGUAAAGCGCGCGUAGGUGGUUCGUUAAGUUGAAUGUGAAAGCCCCGGGCUCAACCUGGGAACUGCAUCCAAAACUGGCGAGCUAGAGUAGGGCAGAGGGUGGUGGAAUUUCCUGUGUAGCGGUGAAAUGCGUAGAUAUAGGAAGGAACACCAGUGGCGAAGGCGACCACCUGGGCUCAUACUGACACUGAGGUCCGAAAGCGUGGGGAGCAAACAGG
rnacentral:rRNA from 1 species